rnacentral:rRNA from 1 species
UCCUACGGGAGGCAGCAGUGGGGAAUAUUGCACAAUGGGCGCAAGCCUGAUGCAGCCAUGCCGCGUAUGUGAAGAAGGCCUUCGGGUUGUAAAGCACUUUCAGUAGGGAGGAAGGUAGUGUAGUUAACACCUGCAUUAUUUGACGUUACCUACAGAAGAAGCACCGGCUAACUCCGUGCCAGCAGCCGCGGUAAUACGGAGGGUGCGAGCGUUAAUCGGAAUUACUGGGCGUAAAGCGCAUGCAGGCGGCCUGUUAAGUCAGAUGUGAAAGCCCGGGGCUUAACCUCGGAAUUGCAUUUGAAACUGGCAGGCUAGAGUCUUGUAGAGGGGGGUAGAAUUUCAGGUGUAGCGGUGAAAUGCGUAGAGAUCUGAAGGAAUACCAGUGGCGAAGGCGGCCCCCUGGACAAAGACUGACGCUCAGAUGCGAAAGCGUGGGGAGCAAACAGGAUUAGAUACCCUGGUAGUCCACGCCGUAAACGAUGUCUACUUGGAGGUUGUGGCCUUGAGCCGUGGCUUUCGGAGCUAACGCGUUAAGUAGACCGCCUGGGGAGUACGGUCGCAAGAUUAAAACUCAAAUGAAUUGACGGA